GGCCAGAUGGCGGAAUUGGUAGACGCGCGGGACUCAAAAUCCCGUGGUAGCAAUACUGUGUGGGUUCGAUUCCCACUCUGGCCACCA
rnacentral:tRNA from 5 species